CAAACCCGGUCAAACUCGCAUGAAAUCGGGUCAACCCGUAAAAAACGUAAAAACCGGUCCGAGUUUACGAUUUCUGCUAAAAUGAAAAACAAUGUGAACUGCCCUUUGUGCUUUAUCCUUUCCCCUGGCAACGUCUCCAUUUUCCUUUUCUGCUUUACCCUUUCCCCUUUUCUCCCAUCCAAAUCUGCAAGAACCCCAAAAUCACCAGCAGCCAAGCUGAUCAAGAAAUCAGACUGAGAAGUGAGAAAUCGGCUUCACUCUCCAGUCUCCACUCUCCACUCACCAGCAGCGCCUUUGAUUUUACACGUUUCGACUCUCCACUCACCAGAACAUUAUUGGCGAGAAGAAGAUUGCUUGACUCACUGUGAAUAAUCCACGUUUGCCUGUGGAAGUUUGGUGGGGCUUUGUGAUGCUUGCAAAGGAAAAUGGCAUAGCAACUCUGCUGUAUAAUUGGCCAUGGAAAUCAUUUGGUUGGGUUGAUUACAAAAGAUAUUUCAGGGUAUAUGGCUAGAAAAAGAGUCUCUUUAAUUUUCAGGAUUCUUGCUAGCAAAGAGAAAA